GGUGACCAGCGGAGGGACAUUACCGAGUUUACAACUCCCAAACCCCUGUGAACAUACCACUUGUUGCCUCGGCGGAUCAGCCCGCUCCCGGUAAAACGGGACGGCCCGCCAGAGGACCCCUAAACUCUGUUUCUAUAUGUAACUUCUGAGUAAAACCAUAAAUAAAUCAAAACUUUCAACAACGGAUCUCUUGGUUCUGGCAUCGAUGAAGAACGCAGCAAAAUGCGAUAAGUAAUGUGAAUUGCAGAAUUCAGUGAAUCAUCGAAUCUUUGAACGCACAUUGCGCCCGCCAGUAUUCUGGCGGGCAUGCCUGUUCGAGCGUCAUUUCAACCCUCAAGCACAGCUUGGUGUUGGGACUCGCGUUAAUUCGCGUUCCUCAAAUUGAUUGGCGGUCACGUCGAGCUUCCAUAGCGUAGUAGUAAAACCCUCGUUACUGGUAAUCGUCGCGGCCACGCCGUUAAACCCCAACUUCUGAAUGUUGACCUCGGAUCAGGUAGGAAUACCCGCUGAACUUAAGC
rnacentral:rRNA from 1 species